UUUUUUACAUUUAAACUGUGUUCCACCAGAGACUUAUUUUGAGCUAAGACUGAAGGUAAAGAUCCAAUUUCAUUUCUUUGUAGCAAGUUAGCAUUCGAAUGCUCAAUCUUGUCCUUUAUGAUAUCCAAUGCCAACUUUAUCAUAUGUGAAAUUUCCACAUAUGUAUAUUUAUCCCACAGUAUUUUUUUGACUGUCUCAGCCUUUUCCAUGUGUCUAUAUAAGUACCAUAGUCUUUAUAGUUCAAUAUUUUUAUUAAAAAAGAUAAACUAGUCCACUUGAUACUCUUCCUUGACAUUUUUCAUUAUGUAUUCUUAUUUUUAUAAGCUCUUUAGUUGAGUCACUUGGAUUUUCCCGUUAUACAGUCAUACUAAUCUGAAAGUAUGGUUAGCAUUCCUCCUUUCCAUUUUUUUUAAACUUCUGUUUUCCUUGUAAGAUCACUUUGGCCAGUCUCUCUGUAACAAUAUUAAGUGAUAGUGGGGAUAGACGUAUUCAUUGUCUUAACUUUAUGGAAAUGUUUUUGAUGUUUCCUUAUUAAGCAAGAUGUUGGCCUCUCAAAUGAGAUACAUACAUACAUAUAUUUUAAAAGUAUCACUAUAAAUUGGUACAACCACUAUGGAAAACAGUAUGAAGGUACCUUAGAAAACUAUACAUAGACCAGCAAUCCCACUCUUGGGCAUCUAUCUGGACAAAACUUUCCUUGAAAAAGACAUAUGCACCCACAUGUUCAUUGCAGCCCUAUUCACAAUAGCCAAGACACGGAAACAACCUAAAUGUCCACUGACGGAUGAUUGGAUUAAGAAGAUGUGGUAUAGGAGUUCCCAUCAUGGCGCAGUGGUUAACGAAUACGACUAGGAACCAUGAGGUUGCGGGUUCGGUCCCUGCCCUUGUUCAGUGGGUUAACAAUCUGGCGUUGCCGUGAGCUGUGGUAUAGGUUGCAGACGCGGCUCGGAUCUCGCGUUGCUGUGGCUCUGGCGUAGGCCGGUGGCUACAGCUCCGAUUCAACCUCUAGCCUGGGAACCUCCAUACGCCGAGGGAGCGGCCCAAGAAAUAGCAACAACAACAAAAGACAAAAGACAAAAAAAAAAAAAGAAGAUGUGGUAUAGAUACACAAUGGAAUACUACUCAGCCAUAAAAAAGAGCAAAAUCAUGCCAUUUGCAGCAACAUGGAUGGAACUAGAGACUCUCAUACUAAGUGAAGUAAGUCAGAAAGAGAAAAACAAAUACCAUAUGAUAUCACUUAUAUCUGGAAUCUAAUAUAUGGCACAAAUGAACCUUUCCACAGAAACAAAAAUCAUGGACAUGGAGAAUAGACUUGUGGUUGCUGAGGGGGAGGGAGCGGGAUGGACUGGGAAUUCAGGGUUAAUCGAUGCAAACUAUUGCCUUUGCAAGGGAUAAGCAAUGAGAUCCUGCUGUAUAGCACUGGGAACCAUGUCUAGUCACUUAUGAUGGAGCAUGAUAAUGUGAGAAAAAAGAAUGUAUACAUGUAUGUGUAACUGGGUCACCUUGCUGUGCAGUAGAAAAUUGACAGAACACUGUAAACCAGCUAUAAUGGAAAAAUUAAAAAUCAUUAUGAAAGUAAAAAAAAAAAGUAUCAUUACAUGAAAGACAACAUAGUAUAAUAAUUAAAAGCACAAAAGCUGAAACUAAAUUCUUCUACAUACAAACUAUGUGGUCUGGAGUAAACAAGUUACUUAACUUCUUGGUGCCUUUGAAGACAAUAUUAUUGCUUCAUUGGAAUUCUAGAAGAAUUAUAUGUUAGAACUCAUAAAGUGCUUAGAAAAGUGCCCAGAAUGGAGUAAGCAUUCACAUUACAGAUGCUCGUGAGGACUGCCAAUCCAGGGAUAUUGCCAAACCAGAACUUCUUCAUAUCAAAUUUUAACCUGCAAGUUUCCACACCAUAUAAAUGGUUUACAUUUUUAGCCCUAAACCCACGUUAGCCAGGUUUGGGUUAGAAAUUAUCACAAGGGCAGAGACCUCCAUUGCCCAGUGUCUAGAAUGGUGCCUGGCACAGAAGAGGCACUCACACAUUUGUUGAAUGAAGAAUGAAUGCACAAAUGGAGGUUCUCCCACCCCCUCCAUGGCUCCUUUUGUUUUUUCUUGAUCCAUCCAGAGCCAUAGCUGAGAAGAACAGGUCUCCUACUUCAGGGUGAGUUUCUUUCUAGUGUAAUAUUGAUGGUAUCACCUUUAGGGGCCUGAGCUAUAAAAACCACUUAGCCUCUUAUCCUGCUUGAGCCUCAGCUUUGUCUUCUCCCUCCUCAACUCUGAGUGAGUCAUGUGUCUAUCAGAAUCCAAGUUACGAUUCACUAAGGACUAGUAAGUUGCUCUCAGGAGAAUCCUCACAAGUUUUUUUUCUUCUCAAAGACAAUGUUUUUUCAGUUGUUUCUGGCCUACAGUUCCUUCUCUUCCUUUAUCUCCAGGCUAGGCUUUAAGAAGAUAGAUUUUAUAUUUUAACCAGAAUUUUUAGGUGUGAAGUAUUCACCUUCUAUGACAUUGCUAGAAAUAGAAUAAUCUAUAACCAUUUAUUUAAAAAUGAUAUAACAUAAAAACUAAUGUGGAAAAAUGGGUUAUAAGAUAGUGUCUCUGGGUUCAGGACAUCAUCCCUUUACCGCACAGAAGUUAUAGAUUUAUUCUGUGUUCCAAAUCAGAAUACUUUUUAUUAUUAUCUCAUAGAUGAAUAACACUAGCUAUAACCUCAUGAGUACUAUUAUGCAUCAGGCAUUUUACAUAUGUUAUCUCUAAUCACUAUACUAACUUCACACCACGCUUUAUUUGCCUUAUUUUUAAAGUAAAGAAACUAAAAGAGCAUUUAUGAAACUUUACCAGUAAUUCACGGUAGUAAAAAGCUGUGUAGACAUGUAUUAUUUCACCUGCCUACCCACACACUUCUAAGAAAUGUUAUUUCACUCAGUUGAGGUGUAGUAGCUAUGGUUUAUAUCACAUGACUCUACCCCCAUGUCCCAGGCAAGUGUAUAAAAAGUACUAACUCGACUUAAGGACCCACAAUCCAUAGGUUGGUCAGUACCCUCUUAGCAAACUAAGAAUGGGUUUGGCUCAAUCAGAUUCUCCUUCUUCUACAUGAAUUUGGCCAGUGGUAGGUGAUUCCUAACACUUGAAUAUUCCCUUUGAAAGCAAGUGCUGGGAAAAAACAAAAAGUCAAAAAGUUCUAAGUUAUCAGAGAAUUGAGAACAAGCGACAGAGGGCUAUGUUUUUCACCCAUCUGGUCCAUUUAUCUUUGUAAAUACAGUGUUACUUAUUUAAAUAAGAAUUACAGCCUAGAAGUUCCCAUCGCAGUGCAGCAGAAAUGACUCUGACUAGGAACCAUGAGGUUGCAGGUUCGAUUCCCGGCCUUGCUCAGUGGGUUAAGGAUCCGGCAUUGCUGUGAGCUGUGGUUCAGAUUCGUUUCCUCUGCGUCACAAUGCGAACUCCCCAAAUCUCAAAUAUUUAGGAGACCAGAGGAAAACGAGGAAAAGAGCCACUACUUGUUUAAAAUUUUCCUGCUUGGAAUUGUUUAACUUUAAAGCAUGAGGUGGUUAUAGUCUGAACUAAAAUGUCCAAGUAUAUCUUACUCUUCUUUUUCUUGCAGCCAUCAGCACAGAUUUUGCACAUGGUAGGGCACAACAAAUCAAAUAAUGAAAAAACUGACAAGACAGUGACAGAGAUAGAGAUGUUUCUGGAAUUACAUUCAGAGUCUAUAGCUCUUUCUUCUUUUCAGGGAGAGUACUUUCUUUUAAAUGUUCUCAUUGGGAACUGUCACCAAUUACAAGAGACUAUGGAGAUAUGGAAAUGAAAGCAGUACAGGAUCCUGGACAAUAUCCUGAAGCAGGAAAAGUGUAUUAGUGAGUUAAACUGGAGAAAUUUCAAUAAUGUCUGUAGAUUAAGCAAAUAGUAUUUUAUCAAUGGCAAUUUCCUGAUUUUGAUAACUGCACUAUACUGAAGUUAGACCUUAAUAUGAGGGGAAGUUGGGUGAAGGACAGUGGGAACUCUCUGUACUAUUUUUGUAACUUCAUGAGUCCAAGAUAUUUCAAACUAAAAAGGUUUAAAAAUGAAUUAAUGCCCUGGUUGAUGGCAACUCUCUCUCUUUUUUUAAAGUAUAGAAUUGAUUUUGAAAACAAGAAAGAAAAGAAAAAUUAGUGCAGAACAAAGGCUGGUGAAAAGGUCAGUAAUCUAUCUGGGUAAUAAAUUUCUUUGUAGGGGAGGGGCUGAUUAAAAAAACAUGCUGUGACUUUAAGUAAACAUGAGACUGUUUUCUUUUAUAGUUCAUAAAUGGUUUCUAAAGGCAAGUCAAAAGGACGAGUUCUAAAAAUAUUUUUUGCAGUGACAGCAUUGUUGAAUUAGUGUAAAGAGCGGCUGCACUAAAGAAUAGCAUCCAUUGAAACAGUGCACCUUACGGUACGUUUAUUCUAAAAAGACACUCUUCAGUACCUUUGGUCACAACUCUGGGUGUUAAAGCAGUGUCUGUGUGCUUAGUAGGUGUAAGAAAAGUUAAUUGAAUGCAAUAACUUGUCAUGUCUCCUGCUUUCUAACGCAGGCGUCUAAGUGAUUUUCUAAUCUCUUCUAUUACGGAAGUUCUUGGUUUACUUUUUUGAGGUUAUUAGAAAAUGUCUUACUCUUAAGUAGAAAUUUAGUAGAAACUGGCUAUUCUUUGGGGAGGAGAAGGAAAGUGCAAAGAGAAACAGGGUGAGAGAGACAGUUGCAUGCAUGCAGUGUGUGGCCAGCAAGAGCAGCUCUCCUGGUCAUCAGUGUUGAUCCCUCUGUUGGUCUCACAGUGUAUUACUCUAUCUAGGUCAACACUGGGCAUCCCCCGGACACAUUCACCAUCUGUUGACCAUAACAUAUGCAACAUUUUACAGAGAAUUUAUAACCAGGCACCUUAUCCAUGAAUUAAUAAGCUCAGAUUUUCAGUCAUUAAAAUUUGUGCUGGAAGGCCUUUGAGCUAUAUAACCAAAAAAUAGAAUAAAAUAAUAUAUAAAAUUAUAUAAAAUAUAAACCAUUACCCCAAGAGGCACCAUGCCCAAUUCUGUAACAAAACAGAAGCACUUUCUUUCUUUCUUUCCCUGAUGGAAUAACGUGAUACAGGAUAUAGGCCCAACCUUUAGAAUCAAUGUCCUAAUUUCUCUUCCUUUUUACCACUUAAUUCGCCUAUAUUUUGCCCGUCUUGCUUAUAAAACAGAUGUAAUAACAUUGUUACCUUCCAGGGGACUUAUGUAAAUUAAUGAAUAUGGCUGUAAAACAUUUUGCAAACAUGAAGUGUUACAUAAAUACUUUCCAAUUCCUUGAAUGUGCUCAUUAUAUUGCCUGCUUUGAACCUUAAUAUUUGCUUAUAACUCUAUACUCCAGAUUUCCCCAAGGAAGAAAUUCCAACUUUACUUGCCUGUGGCUUUAUAAACAUCUCUUUUUAUAAGCAAAGUCCAAUUCAAUAGGAUGCAGAACCAAGAACAAACACAAGUAACCAAAAACCAAGCAGUAUUCACAGAUGCUCUAAGCCUGUGAAUAUACAAAGUACACCUUGGUAACAGUUAAGCACAUUCAUUCAACAUUUCCAGUUGGGGAUUGUAAGAGCAAUGUAAUGAUUUAGGGAGUUAGUAAAAAUUAAAAGUUUACAAUAUAAACUCAUGACUCUCAAAUUCUCUGCUUCAACAAAGGACCAUAUUCUCUCACUAUUCAAAGGGCAGAAUCCUAUGAAAGCAAAAAGAAAAUUUUAUAUCUGAACAAGAUUUGAAUCUUUGAGCCUCUGUUGCUCUAGUUGUAAACAUUUUCUCAAUGAAUCCCUUCAAAACACUGCUACACAUGCUCUACUUAGCCAGUCUGAAACUAUUAUUCACUUGAAAAUAUGGUAUCAUACUAAAAAUUACUAGAUGAUUAAAUGAGAUAGUACAUGACAUAUUCUGCACAGUAUCCAUUUCAGAGUACUCAAUAAAUAGUACUGACAAAACCGAUAUGUAGUUAUAUUAAUUAUUCUGACAAAUUAUUGACGGACAUGUAUUGAUGUCCAAUAAAUAUGAUUUUGUGGAUAACAAGGGAAAUACCAAUACUCCUACUUAUACAUUAAAUCCAUGACAAUGAAAUGCAAGUUAUAUUUAGUACAUAUUUUGAUAAGAAACUCAUCACCAUGAGAGUAACAACAUUAAGAAAACUCUGUGGCGUAACAAUUUUAACAUGUUGAUAUAUUAUGAAAUAUGACACAAAAACCAGCACAUAUAACUGUACAAAUUUCAUGACAAAAGGCUAUGCAUAUCCUUCAAAAGCUUUAAUUGAAAGAGUGACUAUCACACUAAGCUAGAAGACAAGAAAAGUACUGUUAUUCUACUCUAUGACCCUAAAGAUUCCACAGCUGAAGGAUUAUUAUGUCCAGUCAGCAUGCAGUCUGUACAAAUGCAUCAGCAUAAAACAAAUGGUCUUCCAAAAUUGUAACUUGGAAUGAUGUCUAUUAUAUAACAGAGAAACAGUCCAACUCCACUGUAAUAAAUUCAGAUAUAAAACAAAAACUAUGAUUUGGCAAAAAGCAUGUCAUUCAAUGAAGGGUUUGCCAUGACUGAGGGUUGAAUGGCUUUUACUAACAGUGAUCACAAACAUUUAGGAUAAAAUAGAAAAAAAAAAAAUGCAUGGGAGCUACAACUCCUAGGGUCUAAGUGAGUCCACAGUGAAGAAAAACUCUUAUACAUACUGAAUGUGGGAAAACUCUCACCAAAAGAUUGAGGCUUCUUUCACACCAGAAAAUUCCUACUGGAGAGAAGCUAUGUACUGAAUGUUGGGAAAUCUACAGAAAGAAGUCAGAGUGGAUUUAUUCAACAGAAGAUUCAUACUGCAGAGAAACCUCAUGGAGGUAGUAUAUCUGCGGGAAAUCGUUUGCUGGGAAAUCACAUCUUCAGUUGCAUCAUCCAAUUGAUAUAGGUGAAAAACCUAUAUGUGAGCUGAUUGUGGGAAGGCCUUCACUAACAGGGCAAAGGUCCAGAAACCUCAGGAUGCUCACCCUUGAAGUAAAGCCUAUCAAUGCAGUGACUAUGAUAAGGGCUCUACCUAGUUGUUCUAAUGUGUUCUAGAGUGCAUCAGAGAAGCCAUACCCGGGGAAAAAACCAUUUGUUUUUGAGAGUGAUUAGGCCUGCUCAAGGCAAUCAGAUCUAAUUCUAAUUUAAAAAAUCAAGGCUCCAGGCUGCAGAGAGCUUUAUGAAUAAGUUACAUGUGAGAAAGCCUUUAAGAAAAGGUUGCUCAUUCUGUUCGAGGGAGAACUCAUUCCCAGGAGAACCUCUAACGAUGCCUGGCUGAAGGAACCCUUCUUAAUUGGCACCACAAAUGGUAUCACACCUUUCUGUUGACAGUUUAAUGAAUUAGGAAUCUUCCUGUAAGAUGUACUAAAUGUGUAUUUCUUUUAAGUAUUACUGCAGUUAUUAGCAAAUUGUAGUUCAUCUACGUAGUACUUGUUCAAAGCUUUUUUCUUCUUAGUUUUCUUUGAUUUAUAUCAUUCUGAAUACCUUAGGGAUACCUGUCACUUCACUUGCUAUGUACUGCAACAGUUUUAUUACAGCUUUCAUUACAGUAUCAUUUACAAUAGGGACAAUGUUGAUUAAUCUCAGUUACAAAUAAUGGUUUGCCUCCAAGAAAGCUAAAGGUAGCUAAGGCAAAGCUAGUGAGAUUAAUAAAAUCAGUAAACCAACCAUAGUAUUUUAAACAUAAAUAUGCUAUUCUACCCAGUAGAAUCUAUAAAAUAUUUUCAGGCAAAACUUAGACAUCGUGAGUCAAAAUUUUACGGGAGUUUAGAGAAUUUUAAGAGCGUCAACCUUAAAAGCAUGUCUUUGUAACUCAGGGGAAAUAUUUCCUAAUUACAUAAGGUAAGAGGUCUUUAUGUCGUGGGUUUAUUAAAUUUGUAAGGAAGAAAAUGAUGAUGACAUGCCCACUAAACACAUUAUAUUCUUAAUACUCUUUUUUUUUUUUUUUUUUAAACUCAAGUCUCACUUCCUGAGUGUUAAUUGCACUGGCUUCAAAAGCAUCUGGCAGGGCUUGCCUUGGAUGACUGAUGGAGUCCAUCUCCUGGAGCUGGGGGGCCUGGGGAACUGCCACCACUCUCCCCCCUGAAUACAGCUCAGCAGAACCAGCUGGGACACAGCUGCAUCCCAGCUGUCAGCCUUGAUUUCCUAUGGCUACACUAAAAACAAUCACCCCAGCUCGAUCACAUGACAAAUCAAUCUAAACUGCUAUGGGUAGGACUCACUAAACAUUAGAAAUUAAAAUGUGCCAAGAAUUCAGAAAGA
rnacentral:lncRNA from 1 species